UAUAUCACUAAGCAACUGGCAGAGCGGAGCAGUUUGCAGGACAGUUGGAGCAGCUCACAGAACGCGGAGCAGAGCAGAGCUGAGCAGUUUGCAGGACGGUUGGACCGGCCCAUGGAACAGAGAUCGAGCGGAGCGAGCAGAGCAGUUUGCGGGGACGGCUGGAGCGGCUCACAGGUCAGCUGGUGGAGUGGAGCUGUUCGUGGUGAAGGCGGCAGCAGAACUCCAUAGAGAGGCGGGGUAGUCAGCCUCGGACCACGUUUACUCCAAGGAUGAAUCUGGCCUGCUAGGACUAUGGCAAGAAAGACCAAUCUGCUUUCCAAACCAGGCAGCAUCUCCAUAACAGCACAUCUCAUCGGAGACCCACAUUCAGCGUUCCUCUAGACCUGAUCUUUUAUAAGUUCACUGUGGGAAUUAGCAGCUGGACCAUGCCUUCUGACUGGAACGAUGCCUUUAGCUCUGCCUCAGACAUCAC